rnacentral:rRNA from 1 species
AUUGAACGCUGGCGGCACGCUUAACACAUGCAAGUCGAGCGGUAACAUGGUCUGUAGCAAUACAGACUGAUGACGAGCGGCGGACGGGCGAGUAAGACGUAGGAACCUGCCCAAAAGAGGGGGACAACCAAGGGAAACUUUGGCUAAUACCGCGUAAUCUCGAAAGAGGAAAGUUGCACGCAAGGGUAAUACUUUCGGAUGGGCUUGCGUCCGACUAGACAGUUGGUGAGGUAAUGGCCCACCAAGGCAUUGAUCGGUAACUGGUCUGAGAGGACGACCGGUCAGACUGGGACUGAGACACGGCCCAGACUCCUACGGGAGGCAGCAGUGGGGAAUCUUGGACAAUGGGGGCAACCCUGAUCCAGCGAUGCCGCGUGGGUGAAGAAGGCCUUCGGGUUGUAAAGCCCUUUAGGUUGGGACGAAGUGUGCGGGGUUAAUACCUCCGCGCAUUGACGGUACCGACAGAAUAAGCACCGGCAAACUCUGUGCCAGCAGCCGCCGUAA